ACGCUCGACACCUACUGGAGGCAGCAGUGGGGAAUAUUGCACAAUGGGGGAAACCCUGAUGCAGCGACGCCGCGUGAGCGAAGAAGUAUCUCGGUAUGUAAAGCUCUAUCAGCAGGGAAGAAGAUGACGGUACCUGACUAAGAAGCACCGGCUAAAUACGUGCCAGUAGCCGCGGUAAUCUGAGCGGGCUGGCAAGGC
rnacentral:rRNA from 1 species